GAUGAACGCUGGCGGCGUGCCUAAUACAUGCAAGUCGAGCGAACAGACGAGGAGCUUGCUCCUUUGACGUUAGCGGCGGACGGGUGAGUAACACGUGGAUAACCUACCUAUCAGACUGGGAUAACUUCGGGAAACCGGAGCUAAUACCGGAUAAUCUAUUGAACCGCAUGGUUCAAUAGUGAAAGACGGUUUUGCUGUCACUUAUAGAUGGUUCCGCGCCGCAUUAGCUAGUUGGUAAGGUAACGGCUUACCAAGGCGACGAUGCGUAGCCGACCUGAGAGGGUGAUCGGCCACACUGGAACUGAGACACGGUCCAGACUCCUACGGGAGGCAGCAGUAGGGAAUCUUCCGCAAUGGGCGAAAGCCUGACGGAGCAACGCCGCGUGAGUGAUGAAGGUCUUCGGAUCGUAAAACUCUGUUAUUAGGGAAGAACAAAUGUGUAAGUAACUAUGCACGUCUUGACGGUACCUAAUCAGAAAGCCACGGCUAACUACGUG
rnacentral:rRNA from 1 species